UGCAGUCGACGGUGAAGCAGAGCUUGCUCUGUGGAUCAGUGGCGAACGGGUGAGUAACACGUGAGCAACCUGCCCCGGACUCUGGGAUAAGCGCUGGAAACGGCGUCUAAUACCGGAUACGAGACAAGACGGCAUCGUCAUUGUCUGGAAAGAUUUUUUGGUCUGGGAUGGGCUCGCGGCCUAUCAGCUUGUUGGUGAGGUAAUGGCUCACCAAGGCGUCGACGGGUAGCCGGCCUGAGAGGGUGACCGGCCACACUGGGACUGAGACACGGCCCAGACUCCUACGGGAGGCAGCAGUGGGGAAUAUUGCACAAUGGGCGAAAGCCUGAUGCAGCAACGCCGCGUGAGGGAUGACGGCCUUCGGGUUGUAAACCUCUUUUAGCAGGGAAGAAGCGAAAGUGACGGUACCUGCAGAAAAAGCGCCGGCUAACUACGUGCCAGCAGCCGCGGUAAUACGUAGGGCGCAAGCGUUAUCCGGAAUUAUUGGGCGUAAAGAGCUCGUAGGCGGUUUGUCGCGUCUGCUGUGAAAUCCCGAGGCUCAACCUCGGGCCUGCAGUGGGUACGGGCAGACUAGAGUGCGGUAGGGGGAGAUUGGAAUUCCUGGUGUAGCGGUGGAAUGCGCAGAUAUCAGGAGGAACACCGAUGGCGAAGGCAGAUCUCUGGGCCGUAACUGACGCUGAGGAGCGAAAGGGUGGGGAGCAAACAGGCUUAGAUACCCUGGUAGUCCACCCCGUAAACGUUGGGAACUAGUUGUGGGGUCCAUUCCACGGAUUCCGUGACGCAGCUAACGCAUUAAGUUCCCCGCCUGGGGAGUACGGCCGCAAGGCUAAAACUCAAAGGAAUUGACGGGGACCCGCACAAGCGGCGGANCAUGCGGAUUAAUUCGAUGCAACGCGAA
rnacentral:rRNA from 1 species